rnacentral:misc_RNA from 1 species
GACCACGUUAUUCGAAGACCAAGUCAGAGACAACUAAACGUGUCGUCUCACAAAGCUACUCUCAACGAGGAUGUUGAAAUUGUUCAGAAAGAAAGAUUUCUCGACUAAUUCCGUCUUUACGAAAGAAAUUAACCAUAGAUGGAGAAUCUUUCAUUUUUCACAUAACAACAGAUCCAAUAGUACAUAUCAUGAAACAACACAUCCAAACAGAAUGACACUUACAAUAUUUAAGCAAUUCUGGGAAUUUUGUAACUACUGUUCAGUAGCAUUAGAUGGACAUUCUUUCAGAGACUUGAGCACAUUUUUGCUAGCCACCUUCUUGGCUAUUAGUUUGUCUCGUCCCGAGCAUGUACUCUUGUGGACAACGCCAUUUGCUUCGACCUCUACUGUGAUAUAAGCUAUACCAUUCUCACGAGAGACGACAUCCUUCUUCCUUAUAUAACCUUUCUGGUCACAUAGUUCACUUAACUCUCUUACCGGAUGGGGCUUUAGUGUCUGAGGUGUAACCAACGGUUCCAAAAGAGGUCGUAUGCACUGAAAUGUAGUUUCUUUGUCAAAGCCAGAAUCAACAAAGAUCGCACCACCAAGAGACUCUAUAACAUCUCCAAGCACCUUUGGGAAAGUAGUUUCAGCUUCCCAUCCGAACGUGGAGUCAAGGUUCAAUUUAUCGAAAUCCUCAACAGUACUACAUAUCUGUCUUUGGAGAUCUUGGGAGGCAUGAAGAAUGUGCUUGUGCAGGCCAGCCUUAACUGCAGAUUGAGCAUAGCAUUCGUUGUUUACGGAGGCAGACCUCAAAUCAGUAAUUAGUCCUGGAGUCAGUCCAGGAUAUUUGAAAUAGAGAUGUGCUGUAACAACAUAAUCGAGCACUGCAUCUCCAAGAAAUUCCAAGCGCUGAUAGCAUCGUGGAAUCUCAGGUAUCAUGUAAGAUCCAUGAGUUAGCGCUUCAACAAGCAGAGAAGGAUCAUUGAACUUGUAAUGUAGCAGGGAUUCCAAGUAUCUGACAUUAACUAGCUUCUCAGCAUUCAUGGGAAAGUGCCUUGACAUAGGUGCAUCAACAAAAUUGAUGUCCACUCCAAGCCAUUUCAUAAAUGACAAAGCCGCUACUUCCCCACCCGAGCUGAGGUAGGCACCUAUUAGUGCCUCGACCACAUCAGCUACUCUCUUACUUCUGAUCUUCUGUUUUACCCUACUAUACAUUUUAUCUGAGGACGUUAGGAGCACUUCGUCGAAGCUGUGAACUUGAGAAUUAUCACCAGGAAUGAUCCAUGCUUUAAGAUCGAAUGGUUCAUUACGGAUAAAUCCCGGUAUUUUACGAGCACAUCCAAGCUUGCAUAGUGCAGCAUUGGAAAUAAUCUGAGUUUUCUUGACAGUGAGAAGACCCUCAUGAUGAUUUUCGUAAGUCUUGAACAGCUUUAUACUGGCAGCAUAUUUGAGAAAAGAGUCUCCAAGUGUCUCAAGUGAUUCCAAAUGAAACUUCUCAAGGCAUUUCUUUGUUGUCAUUGCUUCCAGAAUCGUAGCGGUUGGAAUAGGAACAUUCAGUGUGCAGUGAUCCAAAUGCAUUCUUUUCAAGUUUGAGGCCAUAACCAAGGACUCAAUCCGAUGCAUGAUUGAAGGAACAUAUGAAUAGGUAUUAAGUGUAGAAAUAGAGAGAGGUGACAUGAUGAGGGAACAAAUUUCAGGAGGCAACUCAACAGAUGAAUCAGUUGAAUCUUUAGCCUUCUGAGUUCUGCUUCUCUGAAGGUAAUUGUGCACUUUACAAAUAUGUUUUCCCCUAAGAAGUGGUUCUUCUUCAAAGCAUAUGUUGAUCCCAUGCCGCUUUUUGUAGUAUUCUAUGUAGGUUAUGGAUUCUCCAGUUCUCAUUCCCAACAAUGAGUUGCAAUCCAACUUAUCCAAAAAACCGGUAACGCAGUAUAUAUAGCCAUUGUGAGGUGUAAAGACCAAUGAAUUCUCCAACAUGCAGCUACAUACCAACCCAUUUUUGGUGUUCACACUGCGUUUGCGAUCUUGAGUAGAACACCAAUCCAUAUGCUUAUCCCCAAGAGCUUGAGACGGAAACAACAAAGAAUUCACACAUUUCCAAUUUAUUUCAGGGGUACUACCCAAUGACGGGAGCAACAGAUAAUCAGAAACUGCAGAACCAAUGGGCGAUUGAACUGCACCCAAAGCAUCCUGCAGUAUACUCAGAUCACGGUCAAGAAGAAUUCUGAAGACACUGACUUGAAACCUCUGACAUCGUCGAAUCUCUUCAGCAGUAAGUGUAACAACUUUACUAUAAUUAAGUUGAACUUGCAAGAGUCCCCUCCUAUCAACGUCCAAGUCAAAUGCCAGUAUUUCAUCAUCACACUUGAGCCUUGUCCUAACAGCAAGUAUAAUCCCAUGAAGCUCGAAGUCGUUGUAAGAGGCAUGUUGCAUCUCAACUAGGUAGCAGUAGUACACUGCUUCUGAAUCAUUGCUGCAAUGACUAACCAAUUCUGGUGGAAAGUAUUUUGAUUCUUCAACAGUCUGGAUUUGACAUUCCAAUUCUUUGUUGAUGAUUUCUUCCUCCACGAUAUCAGGAACAAGAUUGUCAGUCAAGGCACCCACACGAUGAAGUUGUUUACAAGCUUCAAGGCAUGCAAGUUGCUUCAAUAUUUUUCUCUUCCCCUGUACGCUAAUAAUUCCUUGCAGUGGCGAGCUUUUGGGAAGUUGUAGCGUGCAGGUUUCUGUUUCCUUAUCAAUCACACACCUAGGAUUGGGUUUAAAGUACCCAUCCGACGGUAGCCUUGAGCAAUAGAAGUAUAGCAAUGACACGCUAGAACUGAGGGUGACAACUGCUCCUGUGCUUUCAACUUUGUAGCAAGGCUCAUCAUACAAUUCAUCAUCUAGAGGUGAACAUGGAAUAGAAGCAUGGCGUAAUGAUUCUUGCCGCAUUAUCUCUCCACUAGCCAUAUAGUUUUGCAUGCGAGUAAGGGUUGGAUCAUCCCCAUCUCUGACCAUCAGAAGAAAGUCGGAGUUUUGCAUUCGAGCUCGUCCACGUGAUUGUAUAAAGCUACAAACAGUAGCUGAUGGAUCAAAUCGAAUCACAAGAUUGCAACUUUGAACAUCCAAGCCCUCUUCAAGAAUAGAUGUCGCUACAAUAAUGUUCACCAGCCCCUUGCGAAAUUCUUCAACAAUUUUAUUUUGACUUUUUCUACUCUGUGACUGGAGCACAGAAACAUGCCCUGCUGUAUACUCAGUUCUCCAACCACUUCGUUCCGGAAGCAACUCAUUCAGUAGAGACCGAAGAACAAUGGCUGUAACAAUUCUCUCAACAAAUAUAAUGCAUCUCAAAUCCUUUUGGUCCCUGUACUCAAGAAGAGACUCUAGAAGACAAUUAACUUUGGAUGACAAAUAUCCAGCAUCCGCAUUUGCCUGAAUAUCACCACCAAUUGACCAAUGUGGCCCUGAAGGUAAGCGGGCCGAAAAAAUCUUAGAUGCACCCAAACUGAAAUCUCUAACAAUUGUCUGAGCACAUGCAUCAAAUUCUCCCCAUGAAAAGAAAUCAUUUUCUUCAAAGGACAAGAACUCAGCUGCCUUGAAAGCCAGCCACACACCCAUCUCACUCAAACAAAAUAAGAAAGCCAUGUGAAGUUUCGAUAAACGUCUUCUUGCAGAUCCA